rnacentral:rRNA from 1 species
CCUACGGGUGGCAGCAGUGAGGAAUAUUGGUCAAUGGCCGGAAGGCUGAACCAGCCAUGCCGCGUGAAGGUCAGUGCCCUUUGGGCGUUAAACUUCUUUUGUGCGGGAGCAAUAAUGGUCAAGUGUGGCCAGACGAGAGUACCGUACGAAUAAGCAUCGGCUAACUCCGUGCCAGCAGCCGUGGUAAUACGGGGGAUGCAAGCGUUGUCCGGAUUUAUUGGGUUUAAAGGGGGCAUAGGCUGGGAGGUAAGUCAGCGGUGGAAUGCCCGCGGUCAACGGGGUGAAGUGCAAUUGAUACUGCCUUGCUGGAAUGCAGAUGCCGUAGGAGGAAUGUGUGGUGUAGCGGUGAAAUGCAUAGAUAUCACACAGAACACCGAUUGCGAAGGCAUCUCACGAAUCCGCGAUUGACGCUGAUGCACGAAAGCGUGGGUAUCAAACAGGAUUAGAUACCCGGGUAGUC